UCCGUAGGCGGGCCAUUAAGUCAGGGGUGAAAGUCUGCGGCUCAACCGUAGAAUUGCCUUUGAUACUGGUGGUCUUGAGUUAUGGUGAAGUGGCUGGAAUAUGUAGUGUAGCGGUGAAAUGCAUAGAUAUUACAUAGAACACCGAUUGCGAAGGCAGGUCACUAACCAUAUACUGACGCUGAUGGACGAAAGCGUGGGGAGCGAACAGGAUUAGAUACCCUGGUAGUCC
rnacentral:rRNA from 1 species